rnacentral:rRNA from 1 species
GACGAACGCUGGCGGCGUGCCUAAUACAUGCAAGUAGGACGCACAGUCUAUACCGUAGCUUGCUACACCAUAGGCUGUGAGUUGCGAACGGGUGAGUAACGCGUAGGUAACCUGCCUAUUAGAGGGGGAUAACUAUUGGAAACGAUAGCUAAUACCGCAUAACAGUAUGUAACACAUGUUAGAUGCUUGAAAGAUGCAAUUGCAUCGCUAGUAGAUGGACCUGCGUUGUAUUAGCUAGUAGGUAGGGUAAUGGCCUACCUAGGCGACGAUACAUAGCCGACCUGAGAGGGUGAUCGGCCACACUGGGACUGAGACACGGCCCAGACUCCUACGGGAGGCAGCAGUAGGGAAUCUUCGGCAAUGGGGGGAACCCUGACCGAGCAACGCCGCGUGAGUGAAGAAGGUUUUCGGAUCGUAAAGCUCUGUUGUUAAGGAAGAACGAGCGUGAGAAUGGAAAGUUCAUACUGUGACGGUACUUAACCAGAAAGGGACGGCUAACUACGU